ACCACAUGUGCCUGAGAAGACCAUCAAGGUAAUGCCAGAGAGUUCGAUCCUGGCUCAGUUGAACGCUGGCGGGAUGCUUUACACGCCAAGUCGAACGGCAGCACGGACUUCGGUCUGGGUGGCGGUGAACGAGUGGGUAAUGUAUCCGGAACGUGCCUAAUGACGGGGGAUAACUACGCGAAAGCGUAGCUAAUACCACAUACGCCCUUCGGGGGAAAGCGGGGGACCUUCGGGCCUCGCCAUCGACAACCAUUAUCGGGAUUAGCUAGUUGGUGGGGUAACAGCUCCGCAAGGCGACGAUCCGUAGCUGGUUUAAGAGAGGACGACCAGCCACUGGGACCGAGACACGGCCCAGACUCCUACGGGAGGCAGCAGUGGGGUACUGGACAAUGGAAACCCUGAUCCAGCCAUCCCGCGUGUGCGAUGAAGGCCUUCGGGUUUGUAAAGCACUUUUGGCAGGAAAGAAACGGCACGGGAUAAUACCCCGUGCAACUGACAGCCUGCAGAAUAAGCACCGGCUAACUACGUGCCAGCAGCCGCGGUAAUACGUAGGGCGCAAGCGUUAAUCGGAAUUACUGGGCGUAAAGCGUGCGCAGGCGGUUCGGAAAGAAGAUGUGAAAUCCCAGAGCUUAACUUGGAACUGCAUUUUAACUUCCAACGUGACUAUGAUUGUCAGAGGGAGGUGGAAUUCCGCGUGUAGCAGUGAAAUGCGUAGAUAUGCGGAGGAACACCGAUGGCGAAGGCAGCCUCCUGAGAUCAUGACGCUCAUGCACGAAAGCGUGGGAGCAAACAGGAUUGAGCCCUGGUAGUCCACGCCCUAAACGAUGUCAACUAGCUGUUGGGGCCUUCGGGCCUUGACGGCUGCAACUAACGCGUGAGAAGUUGACCGCCUGGAGAUACGGUCGCAAGGUCAAACUCAAGGAAUUGACGGGGACCCGCACAAGCGGUGGAUGAUGUGGAUUAAUUCGAUGCAGCAUAGAAAAACCUUACCUACCCUUGACAUGUCUGGAAUCCCGAAGGGUGGGAGUGCUCGCAGAGAACCGGAACACAGGUGCACGCCGGCCUGUCGUCAGCUCGUGUCGACGUGAGAAUGUUGGUUCCGGUCCGCAACGAGCGCAACCCUUGUCAUUAGUUGCUACGAAAGGGCACUCUAAUGAGACUGCCGGUGACAAACCGGAGGAAGGUGGGGAUGACGUCAAGUCCUCAUGGCCCUUAUGGGCCAGGGCUUCACACGUCAUACAAUGGUCGGGACAGAGGGUCGCCAACCCGCGAGAGGCCAAUCGAGGAAACCCGAUCGUAGUCCGGAUGUGAUCUGCAACUCGACUGCGUAGAGUGGAAUCGCUGUGUCGGAUCAGCAUGUCGCGGUGAAUGCGAUUCCCGGGUCUUGUACACACCGCCCGUCACACCAUGGGGUGGGUUUUACCAGAAACAGGUCCACAACCUAACCGUAAGGAGGGCGAUUACCACGGUAGGAUUCAUGACUGGGGUGAAGUCGUAACAAGGUAA
rnacentral:rRNA from 1 species